GUGGGAGUUAAAAACUACACAACAGGGUACAGAGAGCCAGCGGGAUACCGAGUGUAUGUACUGAGAGCGUGGAAAGAAGUGAUUAGCAGAAGCCAUCAAGCCUGUUGAGGAUCUGCAGCAACGAGCUGUUCAAGCCCUGAAGAGAGCCUCCCUCAUCGUUUGUUGUAAGCUGUGAUGUUUAAUUGGCCGGCAUCCACCGCACUCUGGGGGAGUGAAUUCCACAGGUUCAAGAGGGUUUGAGAGAGGUAAUGUCUGCUCAUCUCAGUUUUACCCGUUGCCUAAAACCAUGGCCCCUGCUCCAGAUUGGCCCAGAAGACGAAACUCUUCAGCAACUUUUCUAUAACUCCUGCUAAUCCCCUGGGGCAGAACAGAAGAGCACACGUCACUGGAAGGUGUUAUAUCAUGAAAUUAAGGUUCACGUUCAAAACUCUGUGUUAACCAGGACAAAACAGGCACAUCAACUUCAUAUUCAUCACUUUCCAUUUUUAUCAUUCUCAAAUUUGGUCAUCGAUGCCUGUUCAUCCUGUGACAGUCAGUGUGUGUGGGAAUGUAUCCCAGUGAGAGUCAGUG